rnacentral:lncRNA from 1 species
ACUGAGCGUCCUGGUAAAUGGAAUUUUGGGAAAAGUUGUGUAUCGUCUGGAAGAAGGUGUUAGAGAUUGAUAGCACUUGAACAAGAGAGCACAAGAGAACUAGGGAAGAGGAGAAACGUAGACUCACAAAGGCAUGUUCCUUUCCUAACACACACCGGUCCUAUUUUUCCACUCUUCACUCUGCCCCAAAUAUAUUUGAAGGUUUGGUCAUCAUGGCAUACGCCAGCCUUGUUCCAUUGGGUCACAGGGCUUCAGCCAAUUUUCUCCAGUGGCAGUUUGAUUGCUUCACCACUGCAGUUGUCUUCAUGCCACUUCAGCACUGGAGAACAUAAAUAAUUCUUAUAACUUAAAGAGGAUUUACAAACAGAACUGGAGAUAGUAUUUGUUUUAAUUGAGAUAUGAUUACCGAAGUUUCCAGAUCUUGUGCAUUAGUCCACAGGGAACUGUCUGCAUUAGAGGGAAAAAGACAAGUAAAUCACGUUAUUGUUAUUAUUACUUUUAAUAACUCUGUCGAAAGCUGAUAAAAAGAAAGUUAGGAAUUUGGGUGCUACUCUCACUGCUGAGUCACCGAACACAAGGAUCAUACAUCUGCUAAAUUCUGGGACACCUAUGAUGUAACAACCCAAGAAAAAAAAAUAGCAGCUAAUAUCAAGAGCAAAAUUGUUUUAAAAAUAAACCAAAAUGCAAAAUUCAGAUCUGUAUUUCCACAAGACAUGAAGAGCUUUGAAAGGAGAUACCAUUUACCAUUGCGUGGAAGACUCUUCCAAAGGAAGUCUGGAAACCUGAAAGGACUGAGUUCCAGGGCUCCUCUUAGUGGGGCAUCCAGUUGGCUCCUCAGAGGACCCUCAAGUCCAAGGACCAUCUCAUACCAAAAAGACAAGCUUGGGCUACUGGAGAUGACCAGAACUCCUCCCUCACAUCACAGCAUCGAUAAAACAAGUCAUGCUUCACCCUCCCCAUCAGCCUGUAGAAGCUCAUGAAGCAGAUGUAUCUGAUAGCCUGCCAACAUUUUUCACUGCUGUAAAAGGAAUGAUGGAAAGGUGGAAAACUGGUCCUGUUUCCCAAAUUCCUGGGGUAGGAUCUAGUGUGCAAGAGUGCUCCUCCAUAGCAAUCUGUCGUUUUCCAGGGUACCAUUGGGUCCAGAGAGAUCUGCAGUUUCUCCCUCACCUCUGCCACUGUGCAGAAUCCCUUCCCCUCUGUGUUGUCCUGUGGGGGAUAAUCGAUGUGCUGGUCGAGAAAAGAAAAAGAGAAGAAAACAGAUUAACACUUGGAAAGAAUAAAACCACCAAAAAAAAAAAAAAAAAAAGAAAAAUAGCGAGGAUGUAAAGCUGCUUAGUCUAAUCAACCUGUCACGUGUGUGAUUUCUGUUGUCGUCGUCAUUGUUUGUCCAUUGGCUACUCUUUUUUUUGCUUGUUUGUUAAUCUUCUGUUCUAAAAAUGGAGAGUUUACCUCAAACGUUUCUUUCUGCUUGGAAACAGAUCACCUCAAAGACACUAAGAGCAGUGUGCAGGGAAGCUCAGUGAAGUGAACCUGAUUAUGGAAAACAGGGGAAGAGGACGUUUAGGCUCUUCCAGCAUCCCCUCCUCUUGCUGCUGUGGGCUGAAUCUGAGGGCAGUAUUUCUGAGCAGGAGAGGCUGCUGUUCACUUCCAGAUCAACUGGAACGUAAGAACCAGCCGGGGAAAUCAAGGCACAUCCGAGCUUGAAGUCCUUUCUGAAGUAUCUGAAAGAAACUUGGUGUUACUUUUAAAAAUUUCCCUGCUUUUUCCCCAUUCCCUGGAGAAAAAAAAAAAAAAAAAAAGAAAAAAAAAACACUUUCCAGCCCAGAGUGGGGUAAGGAAGCAGAGAGGUUAGGUGCUAGCUAAAUGUUCCCAGCAUCUUCCCCACGAAAUCAAGAGACAACUGGAUUAUUUAAUGCCACAAAGACAGGCCCUUCCUAGUGUCUGACCCUGUGUCUUGGACAUACACAUGAGCCCAGAAGUCUUAUUCUGUUUUGCUAAAACUUCCACCUUAAGUACAAAAUCAUUGUAAAGACAUAUCCUUUCACUACAGUGUUACAAACAGCCUCAAAAAGAUGUCAAGACAGCAUUAGAAAGGAGGUUGGGAUCCUUUUUUUUUUUUUUUAGGUUGUUGUUGUUGUUGGUUUGAUUUUUUCUUUUGAAUUGAUCCUAGUUAAAGAAAUAAAUAAAAUCUAUACUAUUUAAAUUGGAAUCCC